GGUAGCGAUCAUACCAGCACUAAUGCACCGGAUCCCAUUAGAACUCCGCAGUUAAGCGUGCUUGGGCGAGAGUAGUACUAGGAUGGGUAACCCCCUGGGAAGUCCUCGUUGUGCAGCCCC
rnacentral:rRNA from 1 species